rnacentral:lncRNA from 1 species
GUUAUAUUCCCAACUCAAGUGAACUGAAACUUAACAGAGCUAUGCAUCCAAAGUUUAGCAUGCUUUCUCCCUCAACCUAACCAUCAUGCACUUCGGCCUUGUUCGAUUCUGAAAUAAAGGAAACGAACCCUAAUUUGUAUGGUUUAAAGGGGUUGUGACGAGAUUUAUGCAAGUUUCCCUAUCUAUAGAAGGGACAAGGCCAAUUCUACAUUUCUGGGGUUGGGGGUCAUGGACAGUUUGCUACAUCAUGGGUCCGAUGAAAAUAUUGACUGUAAUACAUGGACUCUUCGUUUCUAGUUAGAAACUCACGGUUUAUUAACAAAGAGUCUGACAGGCCUAGAGGUUUUCAAGAGUCAGGAACCAAGAGUUUAACAAUAACACCAAAGCCCCCCUAGACGAUUUUGAAGUCGAAAUGAAACCAGAGAAAACUUUAAAGCACCCAUUAUGUGCCAUCUGUACUCGUUCAUUAAGUGAAAAAAAAAAGAAGAAAAGAUGCCAUUAAUAUGAAAAAUAGAAGAACUAGCGUUCUAGAAAGUAACGAAAACUAGGACAUACAAUCUCAUUCUCUGAAUAGAUUUAUGAAUGGACAUAUUACAGUAACCAUCAUUACCGUUAUUUGCAAUUAUCAUCAUCAUCAGCUCAUCCCAAAAAAAAUAUGCGUCCCUAUUGCACUAGGAAACAUAAAAAAUCCCACAAAACUUGGGGAAGAAAAGGAUGCAGAGGAAGAAUCGUGAGAGGCCGCACAAAAGGGCUUGAAUGGAGAUAAGAUGCAAGGCAGAAGUUAAACCUCUCCUUCAGGGGCAUUUGAAUCAUCCUUCUCCUCAGAAGAAACUGAAAAAGUAGGCCAACGGAGUGGCGUAAGAAGGAAGGCAAACACAAGGGAACUCGACUGCCCAUUAGCUUGAUAAGGAUUUGAGUGACGGGCCUGAGGGUCUGAGAGGGGUCGCCCGAUAGUGUCACAAUCACAAGCUGUUUGUUGUGGUUCAGACCCCUUGGGGCCAGGGUUCUUGCGUGUUCUGAGGCACCAGCCUGAAGGAAAAUUCAUAAAGUAGGCAACAUUACUGCAGAAUCUUCGUGUGAUUAUAGUAUCAAGUAGUAGGAAACAUUACUGCAGAAUCAUCAGAUGAUUAUAACGUCAACAAAACAACUACCU